GUCGGUACUUGUCAGAACAGAUAAUGUAAGUAUUACUGUUGUUUUCUUUUCUUUUAAUAUUUUAUAGAUUACAGAAGGUCUAGUUCCUCCAGCAAAAGAAGCAGUUCAAAGAGAUCUUUUCUCAGAAUUCCAUCUAGAAGACUGUUGCCUUUAUUUAACUAGCAGGAAAUCUACUAGUAGACAAUCUCCCAAUGAAAUAAGAUCAAGGUUU
rnacentral:lncRNA from 1 species